rnacentral:lncRNA from 13 species
CCAGACUCGAGUCUCCCAACCAGAGUCCUCCGGUUAAGAAACCAUAUAAUAGCAUUCUGGGUACAAAAUACGCACACAAUUGGACCAGAAAGCCAUAAUCCCCCCCAGUCACAUUCUCUUAAAGAUCUCCUUGCCUUCCCUCCCCCUGCUCUGAAACAGGGAGAGGCUUAGAAUCCAGGGGCGUCGGGUAAGACUCCUCUCUCAAACCCGCUCAGGGCCCUGCCCUCCCUCCACUUCCCCUCCGGGGUGGCUACCUCAGGCUCGCUCCCAAACCGGCUGUCUGGCUUGAGGGGACACCUGCGCUUGGCCUCAAGGGAGAGAUGUGGGGAGAGAUCCAGUGCCUACCACCCUUGGCAGAAGACCAGUAGAAGCUAGGCGGGGAGGGCAACAGCGGCGGGGGGCAGGGAACAGCAGCGGCGGGGUACGACGGCCGUUAGCGUUAGGACCGUUAGCGCUCCGCCUUCUCCUGGCAACCCCCGCACGGGCUCCGCUGCCAGGUCUCCGGGGGCGCGCCGGGUGUGACGUCACAGAGCCGCCCCGCCCCCUCAGCAGAGGCGCGUUCCCAGGGUCGUCACGGAGCCGCCCCGCCCCCUCAGCAGAGGCGCGUUCCCAGGGUCGUCACGGAGCCGCCCCGCCCCCUCAGCAGAGGCGCAUUCUCAGGGUCGCGCUAGGGCGCUGCUGGGGAAGCGGAAAGCUGCUCUGGGCUUUGCUGGUGGUGGAAGGACCAGAUGGCCUGGAGGAUGAGGGAACUGAGCGCAGAGAGGUUAAACUUGUCCAAGAUGACAGUCAGCAAGUGAUAGAGUCAGGAUUUGAACCUGGGUUGCGUGAUCCCAGAUUCCUCACUCUUGAUGCAGAGGAAGAAAAACCAUCCAUCCAGUUUUGGUGGAGGCAAGAAAUUCAGGAACCAUCAUCCCAAGGGGUACCAACUUUGGAUUUGUGCUGCUUGAGUGGGGGAGCUCCCACAGUGUCUGUUCAUACAAGAGGGCUUUUAGCAGCUUCUCACCCAGAGUAAUUUGGGAAGAAGGCCUAUAGAUGCCAUAAAAUGGAGGUUUCUCAAGGAAUCCUCAGGGGAAAUGUUAUAACAGCACUCUGCUAAGGAUAUGAGAUGCACCUAGUUAUUUUGUAAGUAGAAGGUAUGGAAUUGCAGGUAUGGUUCUGCUUUUUACCCCAAAGUGAUCAAAGUUUUGCAGCCCAAACAAGUUGCAGUUCAGAAAACACACAAGUACAUUAAUGUUCAAAAGUGUAGCAUGAAGUGCUACUGCCCAAACUCAUUAAUCAGGAACAGCCACAUGGUAUAUAUAGGAACUUGCAUUCUUUUACCUUACAAAUUACAUUAUCAAUUCACCUUGAUGCAAUAACGUGUCCUCCCAUUGGUCCUUGAGCUUUACCAAGGUAGUUUCUUUGUCCAGAGUUCCCUUGAGGUCACUAUAAAUGGAAUCCAACCUACCUAUGGAGAUUCUAUGGCUUCUGCUCUGUUCUCUGCUCAUCUAUUUCUCAGCCCUGAAGGAACUAGUAUGCAAAAUCCCAUCCCCACUAGAGAGAUAAUGUUGAACCUUAUCAGCCUUUAUGACUUUAUCUAGUAAGAUAAUUCUCAAAUAGCUCAGAUAAUCUGUCCCAAUGUAUUCCUGAUUUUGCCCAAUCAAAUACACUUCUGACAAUAUAUACAAAUUUAGACACUGGGCCACUGGGUCACACUCUCUGGGGGACAUCAGUAUUGGAGGCUAGGAGUCCUGGCCAGGGGAAACAGGAGACUUGCUGUUUUAUUAAGGAUUGUAUACAGCACACUUAUAUCUGGGAAUGAAUGUGGGUCUUGGUCAGAAACCAUCUUUGUGGGAAACCGAGGGCAUUCCCAGUAUGCAGUAUCCUCUCUGCUGGGGUAUUUUGUCACAGUGACAAAGUGUGGUGUUUUGCGAAGCUGAUCAACUACCAUCACCUCUUAGAAGGAGGUAAAUCCAUUAUAAAGCUUGAUUGAUAGCAGGGUUAAACUGACUAUGGCUUGCAAUUGGAGCCCU